UAUAGGCUACUCGCGCACCCAUCCAGCGCCUGUGUGUGAGAGGCGCUCAUCUACUCGCGCACCCAUCCAGCGCCUGUGUGUGAGAGGCGCUCACAUUUUUCAACUGUCAUUCUGUUAACGGUCAUUAGAGGGAGCAGUUCGUUGUCAGGCCCAACACAAUUGACCACAGAAACAGCCUCAGGAAUCAAAGGGAGCAGUCGUUUUUGUUGCCCAACACAAUUGACCACAGAACCAGCCUCAGGAAUCAGAGGGAGCAGUCGUUUUUGUUGCCCAACGCAACUGGCAAAGGAACCUUGUAGGCUACUGUAAGUU